GGGUUGUGAGGUUAAGCGACUAAGCGUACACGGUGGAUGCCCUGGCAGUCAGAGGCGAUGAAGGACGUGCUAAUCUGCGAAAAGCGCCGGCGAGGUGAUAUGAACCUUUGACCCGGCGAUGUCCGAAUGGGGAAACCCAGUGCAAUCCGUUGCACUAUCGUUAACUGAAUACAUAGGUUAACGAGGCGAACCGGGGGAACUGAAACAUCUAAGUACCCCGAGGAAAAGAAAUCAACCGAGAUUCCCCCAGUAGCGGCGAGCGAACGGGGAGCAGCCCGGAGUCUGAAUCAGCUUGUGUGUUAGUGGAACGGUCUGGAAAGUCCGACGGUACAGGGUGAUAGUCCCGUACACGAAAGCACACAUGCUGUGAACUCGAAGAGUAGGGCGGGACACGUGGUAUCCUGUCUGAAUAUGGGGGGACCAUCCUCCAAGGCUAAAUACUCCUGACUGACCGAUAGUGAACCAGUACCGUGAGGGAAAGGCGAAAAGAACCCCGGCGAGGGGAGUGAAAAAGAACCUGAAACCGUGUACGUACAAGCAGUGGGAGCCUCUUUAUGGGGUGACUGCGUACCUUUUGUAUAAUGGGUCAGCGACUUAUAUUCUGUAGCAAGGUUAACCGUAUAGGGGAGCCGAAGGGAAACCGAGUCUUAACUGGGCGUUAAGUUGCAGGGUAUAGACCCGAAACCCGGUGAUCUAGCCAUGGGCAGGUUGAAGGUUGGGUAACACUAACUGGAGGACCGAACCGACUAAUGUUGAAAAAUUAGCGGAUGACCUGUGGCUGGGGGUGAAAGGCCAAUCAAACCGGGAGAUAGCUGGUUCUCCCCGAAAGCUAUUUAGGUAGCGCCUCGUGAACUCAUCUUCGGGGGUAGAGCACUGUUUCGGCUAGGGGGCCAUCCCGGCUUACCAACCCGAUGCAAACUACGAAUACCGAAGAAUGUUAUCACGGGAGACACACGGCGGGUGCUAACGUCCGUCGUGAAGAGGGAAACAACCCAGACCGCCAGCUAAGGUCCCAAAGUCAUGGUUAAGUGGGAAACGAUGUGGGAAGGCACAGACAGCCAGGAUGUUGGCUUAGAAGCAGCCAUCAUUUAAAGAAAGCGUAAUAGCUCACUGGUCGAGUCGGCCUGCGCGGAAGAUGUAACGGGGCUAAACCAUGCACCGAAGCUGCGGCAGCGACGCUUAGGCGUUGUUGGGUAGGGGAGCGUUCUGUAAGCCGUUGAAGGUGUGCUGUGAGGCAUGCUGGAGGUAUCAGAAGUGCGAAUGCUGACAUAAGUAACGAUAAAGCGGGUGAAAAGCCCGCUCGCCGGAAGACCAAGGGUUCCUGUCCAACGUUAAUCGGGGCAGGGUGAGUCGACCCCUAAGGCGAGGCCGAAAGGCGUAGUCGAUGGGAAACAGGUUAAUAUUCCUGUACUUGGUGUUACUGCGAAGGGGGGACGGAGAAGGCUAUGUCAGCCGGGCGACGGUUGUCCCGGUUUAAGCAUGUAGGCGGAGGUUCCAGGUAAAUCCGGUACCUUAUUAACGCUGAGGUGUGAUGACGAGGCACUACGGUGCUGAAGUGAUAAAUGCCCUGCUUCCAGGAAAAGCCUCUAAGCAUCAGGUAACACGAAAUCGUACCCCAAACCGACACAGGUGGUCAGGUAGAGAAUACCAAGGCGCUUGAGAGAACUCGGGUGAAGGAACUAGGCAAAAUGGUGCCGUAACUUCGGGAGAAGGCACGCUGAUAUGUAGGUGAAGUCCCUGCGGACGGAGCUGAAAUCAGUCGAAGAUACCAGCUGGCUGCAACUGUUUAUUAAAAACACAGCACUGUGCAAACACGAAAGUGGACGUAUACGGUGUGACGCCUGCCCGGUGCCGGAAGGUUAAUUGAUGGGGUUAGCGGCAACGCGAAGCUCUUGAUCGAAGCCCCGGUAAACGGCGGCCGUAACUAUAACGGUCCUAAGGUAGCGAAAUUCCUUGUCGGGUAAGUUCCGACCUGCACGAAUGGCGUAAUGAUGGCCAGGCUGUCUCCACCCGAGACUCAGUGAAAUUGAACUCGCUGUGAAGAUGCAGUGUACCCGCGGCAAGACGGAAAGACCCCGUGAACCUUUACUAUAGCUUGACACUGAACACUGGUCCUUGAUGUGUAGGAUAGGUGGGAGGCUUUGAAGCGUGGACGCCAGUCUGCGUGGAGCCAACCUUGAAAUACCACCCUUUAAUGGCUGGUGUUCUAACGUAGACCCGUAAUCCGGGUUGCGGACAGUGUCUGGUGGGUAGUUUGACUGGGGCGGUCUCCUCCCAAAGAGUAACGGAGGAGCACGAAGGUUGGCUAAUCCUGGUCGGACAUCAGGAGGUUAGUGCAAUGGCAUAAGCCAGCUUGACUGCGAGCGUGACGGCGCGAGCAGGUGCGAAAGCAGGUCAUAGUGAUCCGGUGGUUCUGAAUGGAAGGGCCAUCGCUCAACGGAUAAAAGGUACUCCGGGGAUAACAGGCUGAUACCGCCCAAGAGUUCAUAUCGACGGCGGUGUUUGGCACCUCGAUGUCGGCUCAUCACAUCCUGGGGCUGAAGUAGGUCCCAAGGGUAUGGCUGUUCGCCAUUUAAAGUGGUACGCGAGCUGGGUUUAGAACGUCGUGAGACAGUUCGGUCCCUAUCUGCCGUGGGCGCUGGAGAAUUGAGGGGGGCUGCUCCUAGUACGAGAGGACCGGAGUGGACGCAUCACUGGUGUUCGGGUUGUCAUGCCAAUGGCACUGCCCGGUAGCUAAAUGCGGAAGAGAUAAGUGCUGAAAGCAUCUAAGCACGAAACUUGCCCCGAGAUGAGUUCUCCCUGAGACUUUAAGUCUCCUGAAGGAACGUUGAAGACGACGACGUUGAUAGGUCGGGUGUGUAAGCGCAGCGAUGCGUUGAGCUAACCGAUACUAAUGAACCGUGAGGCUUAACCUUACAACGCCGAAGCUGUU
rnacentral:rRNA from 2 species